CAGUCGCCGCGGUAAUACGUAGGGUGCAAGCGUUAAUCGGAAUUACUGGGCGUAAAGCGUGCGCAGGCGGUUAUAUAAGACAGAUGUGAAAUCCCCGGGCUCAACCUGGGAACUGCAUUUGUGACUGUAUAGCUAGAGUACGGCAGAGGGGGAUGGAAUUCCGCGUGUAGCAGUGAAAUGCGUAGAUAUGCGGAGGAACACCGAUGGCGAAGGCAAUCCCCUGGGCCUGUACUGACGCUCAUGCACGAAAGCGUGGGGAGCAAACAGGAUUAGAACCCGAGUAGUCCUUGUCUCUUAUACC
rnacentral:rRNA from 1 species